UAGGGAAUCUUCCACAAUGGACGCAAGUCUGAUGGAGCAACGCCGCGUGAGUGAAGAAGGUUUUCGGACCGUAAAGCUCUGUUGUUGGUGAAGAAGGAUAGAGGUAGUAACUGGCCUUUAUUUGACGGUAAUCAACCAGAAAGUCACGGCUAACUACGUGCCAGCAGCCGCGGUAAUUCGUAGGUGGCAAGCGUUGUCCGGAUUUAUUGGGCGUAAAGCGAGCGCAGGCGGAAGAAUAAGUCUGAUGUGAAAGCCCUCGGCUUAACCGAGGAAUUGCAUCGGAAACUGUUUUUCUUGAGUGCAGAAGAGGAGAGUAGAACUCCAUGUGUAGCGGUGGAAUGCGUAGAUAUAUGGAAGAAUACCAGUGGCGAAGGCGGCUCUCUGGUCUGCAACUGACGCUGAGGCUCGAAAGCAUGGGUAGCGAACAGGAUUAGAUACCCUGGUAGUCCAUGCCGUAAACGAUGAGUGCUAAGUGUUGGGAGGCUUCCGCCUCUCAGUGCUGCAGCUAACGCAUUAAGCACUCCGCCUGGGGGAGUACGACCGCAAGGUUGAAACU
rnacentral:rRNA from 1 species